GCGUAAAGGGGGUAGCCGUGACCAAAUGACCCAUUGCCUGCGCUAUAUUUAUUAUGUUCCAACAGUUAAAUAAUGGGUCUGAAUGUUCCAGAAUCGGUUCAAGGUAUUAGUUUUAUGUACGUGCAUGCUUCAUGAGGUUAUCGCUCCGCUUCAUUUUGUCUGCGGCACUCGAUAAUAACAUCGCGUUUGGCGAUUAAUAUGAUUGAUUUACCCUCCAUGUUUACCAUUAAACGUGCGACAGGCCAAAUCAUUUUUUGUGCAUUUAGUUUUAUGGUGGACAGCUGAAGUCAACUUGUGCUGGGGUUGUUGUUUUUCACGUUAAGCCUCUCCGCAAUUUUCUUUUGACUACACGUGCUUUUGUUAUAGGUCAUUUCUGAAGUAAGGCGGUGAGUAAUCUAUUGACAUGAUGCCAUUGUCCUCCUAAGCGAACCUAUUGUAAGGAUAAUCUUAGGUUCUUUAACUUCCUGCUGCCAGAUAACCAGUUGUAUAAAUCAUUUAGCUUUUCUCCAGUGUUACCUCCAUAUUAAUUGGCUAUUUUAAGUACUUAGCCAUAUAUUAAAUUAUAUAUUCUUUUUCAUAGCGCCUGACUGUUUCGUCAUUCACGAGUAAUAGAAUAUCCUGGCUCCCACUGUGGACAGCUUCUGUUUGGGGGGGGGGGUGUUCUGAGGACACCCCUCCAAUACAGAUAUGCUGGGAGAUAAAAUCUGCAGAGCCAACCUGCUUUUAAACAGACAUGCUUUUGUUGGCUGGAUAAAGCAGACAGACAAUCACUUUUCAAUACCCUGAUAGCGUGAUGUGAAUGCCUCUCAAACAUUGUUAUUUAUAAUACCGAUCAAAAAUGUCCUGCGGUAAGUGCCCGUCAAUUGAUUUAUGAUAUUUGAACAGCAGUGACAACCUGUGCACAUAUUCUUUCCAUAUUGCACUAUAGGGUGUUUCAGUAUUUACAUAUGUGCAGGAGGGGUUGGGGGGGGGGACAGUCAUGAUAAAUAACCUGCAUAGAAAGCAGUCGCAUGCAGUCAGUGUGUGGUGUGUGUCUGCGUCUCUGUGACAAGCGUGGAUCUUUUUUUUUCCCCCCUGUAAUUUGUAGAAGGGAGUGUCCUGGCUUUUCAGUGUUCCAUGAACGGUGGCUAUUAGACAAACAGGCGGGGCCCACGUUCCCAGGGCUGAUGCUAUUGCUCAUCCCAGGUGGAUUUGCAGCCUAAUGCAGAGAUGAAGAUGACGGCAUUGGGAAACCGUCAGCCUCACAAAGGUUUUCUCUGGGCUAAAUCUGCCGCAGCUUAACUUGGCAGGACGGGGUAGUGCUGGACUGAGCCGGGCUGAGCUCAGCCGGGCCAGGCCUGCUUGGCGGGAUGAGAACGUUGGGGGUUUGGGUAGUAGAUCCGGGUCAGAUGCAGUUACAGAACGUGCCGGUCCAGUUUCUUCUCACGGUGCUCGGGGACAGUGAGUAAGAGGCUGUUUCGCAUGUCUGGGUUAUGAUGAGGCAGUAGGUUUCUGCGUGGACCUGUUCGCCAGUUCUGGGUUCUUCCCCAGGGUGGGAUGCUCGUACUUGUUUUUUCCCGCAUCUGCCUUGUCUUCAGAAGAACACCUUCACUCACUGUCUAGUGGCGACAGGGAUGACCGACAGCAGGUGCCAGAUCCCACUGACACUAAAAUGGCUUGUGUUGGCAUACAGAACGUUUUGCGCAACAAACACAAAGUUUCCAGUGUUUCUUUGUGCGCACCUGGGAUUUCAUGGGAAAGGAGCUGCCUGUCCAGGCCUGUCCCUCCAGUGCUCCCCCGCACACAAUGGCGAGGGCCUGAGCGACUAGCGGGCUGGAAUGCAGCUGCUCUUGGGUCCAUGCCGUGCAUAUCGCCCAUACCUGGCCGGGAGGCUGAGGGCCGCGGUGAGGAGAGAGAGGCCAAGGAGAAUGCAGGACUCGCAUUCCUGAAGGCCUUAAAGGUUCAUUGCAAGAUGACCAGUUUGACAACCCGCGUGUUCUGUGAGAAAAGCGGAAUCUGCAGGGCAGCGCCCCAGAACAGCGUGUCCCUUCACGCCGGCGCUCCUGUGUCAGCUGACGCGGCCCCUCCCACUCGGCAUGCCGUUCGAAAUGCGCGGGGCGUGCACCUACCAGAGCCCGCGGUCCGGAUCAGCCCGUAGAACCUGCAAUGCCAGGUGAGCCCAGACACAGCGGAGACUCUGCAGCGAAAUCAAGACCUGACUCGAAAGCUGCAGGGACAGACCGCAGGAAGACCACACCUCCGCCGGGAAGCGUGUGGGUUCCGUUCAGUAUGAAAUGGAACCACUGCACUCUGGUUGCGAGGGAGAAUAAGCAAUGGAACAUGAACAAGUACUUCAUAAUAAAGGAGAAUUAGUGCCCGGACCUCAUCACCACCCCGGCUGCCCCUGGCAUGCGUGCCCACGGCCGUCACCACACGUCUGCCAUAGCUCAAGCCUGGCACCAGCAGGUGUGCACGCUACACCCUUCCUACUAGCCCCCAGGCACGCAAAAACAAAGAAAACCUUGUGUAUGAUUGUGUGCGAAUGAGUAUACAUGUACAUGCCCUGUGAUGGACCGAGGUGUGUCCUGGUCUGGUGCACUAUGCUGCCUGCGAUUGGCUCCAGGCCUUACCACAUGACACUGACCAGAAUUUGCAGUUAAAAGAUGGAUGGAGAGAUGGAUGUAUUGGUUAAUGUGACCCGUGCCCAUCUAGCAGAGUCAGUAAAUUUGACACCACAUAAAACAUUUACUAAAGCUAAUUAAGAGCCCAGCUGCCCUGUGAAUUUAUAGACUACUUCCUUCCGGUGACCUCUUCCACACAUGUACUAUAAAUAACAGUGGCAUGUCUGGGGAAGAGAGUGACCCAGAUUUGUGUGUGGAGAUUGAAUCAUGUCACCAGCGUUGUAUUUGGGCUGGGGGGUCAGAGUCAUGCUUCUCCAAUUGAUUAUUUUAUAUCUAAUUAGGGACGAUGAUGUAAGAUUGUAUAUAUACAUGCUCAUGGCCAACUUGGGUAAUGGAUUCUGUGAUCGACAAUUUUUUUCACCGCAAGCCUCCUGUCAACAAGUUUCACCGUAUCAUCCUUGUCAGCCCCCACCCCGUUUGACAACUUAUACUAUAUCCCCCCUCCCCCCUGGGGGGUAGGGGGUUGUCUGACCAUGUUAAUGUGCCUCUGCAGAAAGGUGAAUUUUUGGAGAACAGUGUUCAAGUAAAUAGUUUGUCCUCACUUUUACUGGAGUGGAGCAUGCAUUUACAUGGUUUGUCCUCCGGGGGAGCUAUGACCAAGCUGCUCCGUUAUUGGUUAGGAAGAGAUGCUGAUUUGCCUGCUGUUUACCUUAAGGGAUUAUUUCAUACCCACAGGUGAUACACAACCUUUGUUAUACACAGUAGUGCCUCUAUUCUUUCAAAUGUGUGGGAUUUGUUGCUAAAGACAUCGGCCGUAAAGGUAACAUUUACUGCAUGUUUCCAGCACUAACAAGCAAUAAACAAAGACACGGUUGUUUGCCUAUUUUUAAUGAAUGCAGCUAAAGCUACUUAAUAUCCAGGCAUUGUGAACAGCAAACUGCUGUAUUCCAGUAUUUAUAGCUCUGUUCUCUUGUGUUUACAGUGCCCAUACAGUAUAGGAAAGUCCAUUCCAGUGUGGGCAGGGCUGGGCCACAACUGGGAACUGGUUCCCAAGUGACAGGAAUGCCUCAGAGACAAGAACCUUUUCUAAUCUCUGCAGGUCAAAUGAAAAAGAAAUCAAUUAACAAGAUAUAAAUGUUCUCACAUGCACAAAAAAAAAUCCUGGAAGAAGGUACCAAUUUCUACCUUUGAGGGUAAAUGUGUUUGUCACUGGAGCUGUACCUUAGUAAAUGUACCUUUUAAGGUAUAGAAAUGGACUUUGAAGAACGUUUUUUUUUCUGACAGUGUAGUAAAGAAGUAGUAUUACUCUCAUAUAGUGAUAUCUUUAAAUAUAUUUCAUGAUUAAUAUUUAAUUAAAUGUAUAUGUAAACAUUCCUUUCAGCCUGGGUUCCAGUCUCCCUGUAUUCAGAAAGACCCCCUGAGCCCUUCAUGUAUCUUUCUGGCUACAGCUCUUAGUGAAAGUGCAUCCUUACCUAUAUGUACUUUUUACAAUUGUCAAGCAUCAGCACGCUUGUGGUUCCCCCGGAUUCACAUGACAGAUGAGG